GAUCUUGCAGGUGAUUGUGGGGAGGUUUGCCAAUUGACCUUAGUGAAAUCAAAAAAGAAAAAUAGUUCAUUUGUGUUUGGAGGGGCGACCUUCAUCUGAUCUGACCACAUGGAAAAGCUCUCUUUGUGUUGAUGAAGAAUUCUUCAUCUCAAACAAGAUAAACUGAUGUUAAACCCUGGGGGGCACGUCUUGGUUUGGUUUUCUUGCAAGAAAACUUUAUGGGAUGAUUAUGAAGUUGAAAGUUACUUUCUAUGUAAUGCCAUAUGCAGCCAGUUUGUUGGCCUUUGUCUAUGAAUCCUUCAAAGACAGCCAUGGAUUGUUUACUUAAACCUGUUAAAGCUCGUAUUGCUGAAGUUCAAUUUCCUCUUGUCCCUCAUUGAAAGAU